GGCCCCCUCGUUGCCCGGCAUACCUGGCUCUCGGCUGCGGGGAUGCCGGACUCGAGCUCGCACAGCGCGCGGAAGUUGUGCAGCUCGAAGUCGGCGUCGACCUGGAGGGAAAAGGUCACCUCGGAGAGGUCCCUCCGCACACAGUACACGGUUUCUUUUAUUUAGGUACCAGGAAUCAAACUCAGGACCUCGCGCUUGCCAGUAGGCACUGUGCCAAGGAGCUGUAUCCCCAGCCCUACUUUUGCAGUUUUUGAGUUUCAAUAAAUCAACACACUGGCUUAACACAAAUAAGGAUUUAUUUUCUUAUCAGAUAAGCACCUCAAGAUAACAGCUGCAUUGCAUUGCAUUCAGUGGCUCAAUGAUACCAGGGCCAAUAGUUUCUGCAAUUUUUCUGGCCUUUCCCUGAGGACUGUAGGAGGGCUGGCUGCCUCUACUUCACGAAGCACUUUCUUGUGCAAGGCAGGAGCUCACCUAGAAGUCCCUCAGCAGAUUUCUGCUUACCUCUCACUGGACAGAACUGUGUCACAUACGAGCCAAACAAGUGAGUGUUCAGCUGUCUCUCAGCUUCCUCAAGAAACUGGCUGAGGGGACGAAUAGAGGUUGAUAUUAGGCAAUCAUACAUAGUAAGUACCUUCUACCUGAAGAAAGUUUGACAUAACAAGUGUAUUGAGCAGAGAAAUGAUCCAGGACUCUUAGGUGGUGUCAGGGAAUCAGCUGAGGUUGAGACAGGAGAUUAGGACAUGGCAAAGUGGUUGGCCAGAGGGUGAGUCCUGUCCAUCGUGAAUAUUCAGGAUGUGUGUGCAGAACAGUGUCCAAGCCCUGUACCUGAUACCAAUCAGAGAGUGCUGGCUCUCAUUCUCCUGGCACAAGUUCAAGUAAGUUUUUGAUAGGAUAGCUUGAUCUGACAGCGGAAAGGGUGUAGGGAUGGCAGCUGCUGGCCUUGUGAUCACUUCCUUCUAUCUUUCUUUGUGGCUCACUGCAUGCAGAGCAUCUUUCCUUUCCUAUAGUCACUCACAGAGCACUUCUGUCCACAGUACUUCUCCCUUCUUUUCUUACCUUUAAUACUCUUAAUUGGGCCAGGGAUUUAGCUCAGCGGUGCAGCGUCUGCCUGGCUAGCAAGAGUUCCUGGGUUCAGUUUACAAACUCCAGGAAAAAAAAAUACUUUAUUUUUUAAAAUUUUUUGUCUUUUUCCUUUUUAUUGGUACUGGGGAUUGAACUCAUGACUGCCUGCUUGCAAGGCAGGUGCUUAUGCCACUGAGCUAAAUCCCCAGCCCCCCAAAAUACUUUUAGUAAAUGUGAAAGCCCAGCCAGGUGUGGUGGCACAGGCCUAUAAUGCCAGCACUCGGGAGGCUGAGGCAGGAGGAUCAUUGUGAAUUUGAGACCUGCCUGAGCUACAAAGUGAGCUCAAGGCCAGCCUGGCCUGCAUAAAGAGACCCUGUCUCAAAAAGACAAAAUGAAACAAAAAAUCGUAAAAGCCCACUAUUUCAUUUCCUGUCCAGUUCUGUGUUCAGGACAAGAUCUUGGAAAGGGUCCCUGGGAAGACAGAGCAUCUCAGCAUCUUGCUAAAAGGUCAAAAUCAUAAGAAACACAUUUUUCUGUUAUAUUUUUCCCAGCAGUAAUCAGAUUCCAAAUUUCCAGAAGUGGCUACAGCAUUUCUCAGCCUGCAUGUUCUUCCUACAGUGCAGUGACAUUUACAAGCAGGGUGUAUGUCCCUCCAACUUGAGUCACAUCAGACAGGCAGAAGUGACAUUAUGUGACUUUUGAAGUGAAGACCCAGUUUCCAUCGGCUGUCUUGGACCACAGUGGCCAUGCCAUGAGGAAGUCCCAAUUCUCUGACUCAGAGAUCACCAUGGAGAGAGGAUGUGUAGAUACUCUAGGCUCAGCUCGGCUGAGGACAAAGCCUGUUCCCAGGAAAACUGCCCAAGAACAGAGCUAAGACGCUUUCAGAUUAAUUCAACCCAGCCGUUGAGUCACCUCCGGCCUUUAAGUCUGGUAGAGACUCCAGACAUUGUGGAGCCACCUCUACUGUGUUCUCCUUGAACUUCUGACCCAGAAAGCCUGUGAGCAUGAUAAAAUGGAAACGGAAACCACAGUGAGACACCGUUCACUUCCACUAGGAUGGUUAUGGUAAGAAAAGCCAUAUGAAGCUGGGAGUGGUGUCACGCACCAAUAAUCCCCGCACUCUGGGAGGCUGAGGCAGGAGGAUCACAAAUGCAAACCCAGCCUGGGAAAUUCAAGGAGUCCUGGCCUCACAGAAAACAAUUUUAGAAAGUAGUAAUGGGGCAGGAUAAAAUAAUUAAGAUAUGUUAAGUACAUGUACCCAUUCCCUAAGAUGAAUGUAAACAUUAUGACCUGCAAAUGUGUGCUAAUCAAAACUUUUUGAAAAUAUAAAGUCAAGUACAGAGAAAGAAAACAGGAUUGGGGAUGUAGCUCAGUGUGAAGACCCUGGCUUCUAUCACCCGUACCACAAAAAAACCAAAACAAUAACAAAAAUGCACUGAAAAAUAAGAAAGUUUAGUUAUCAUAUGAUCGUAAAAUUUUACUUCUAGGAAUAUACUCAAAAGAAAUGAAAAUAUGCCAGGCGUGGUGGCUCAUGCAGGUAAUCCCAGCACUCAGGAGGCUGAGGCAGGAGGAUUGUUUCGAGUUUGAGACCAGCCUGGGCUACAAAGUGAGCUCAAGGCCAGCCUGAACUGUCUCAAAAAAACGGAAAACAAACCAAAACAAAAGCACAGCUGUCUGCUACAACACAGAUGAACCUUCAAAGCAUUAUGCCUAGAGAAAGAGUCCAGUCGCAAAAGACACGUGCUGUAGGACAAGGCAAGCAUGAGGCCCUCAGUAUGAUUCUUGGUACAAAAAAAUAAAAAAGACAUACAUUGGGGGCUGGGAAUUUAACUCAGUGGUAUAAGCGCCUGCCUUGAAAGCAUGCAGUUGUGAGUUCAAUCCCUGGUACAAAAAAAAAAAAAAAAAAAAAAAAGACAUACAUUGCAAGAUGGUAAUUAUAUAAAAUGUCCAGGAAAGGCGGAUCCACAGGGACAGGAGGUUUCCCCACACUGGUAGGGUCGAGGCACUGGCAGUACAUGGGAGUGACUGCAAAUGGGUAUAGAUUUUCUUCAGGGGAGGAUGAAAAUAUUCUAAGAUUGUGCUGUGAUUACACAAUCCUCCGCUACAAGUUAUUGUUUAUGCAGAUGAUUUGUAUGUCAUUUAUAUCUCAAUAAAACCAUUUUUUAAAAAAGUUCACACUAGGUGCUGAGUGGAGAAGGGGUGAUACUGGAAUAAGGGAAAGUGGAAAAUAUUUCCGGGGUUCCAGCAGGAGUCUAGGUGACAGAAAUGAUGGACCACAAAUGAGGCAGUUGAGGCAGGGAGCAGCAGGAAGAUUGGUGAGAUGGUUGGUGGAGUGGACCAGGUCCUGUUCAUGGACUGGAUUUGAAUGAUGAAGACGAGGAAUAACUCCUGACAAAAGAGAAAGAAAGCUCCAAAAACACAGUCAGCACGUUCCAGUAGCUGAGCCCCACUGUGUUCAACAGGAUUCAGGCCCAAGGUCCUAGCCUGGGGCUGGGCAUUCAUUCUACAAUCCUUUUCUCUAGCCCCUCCACCCAGUACAGAAGAGCCCUCUGCAAGAGCCCUGUUCCCUGGUCUGGUGACCCUGAGCCCCCUCUGCCCAGGAAAACUGCCAAGGAGCACAGUGUUCCCACAGCUCCGUGCCAGGCAGCUCCUUCUCCCAGGCCCAGCCCUUUGGACGCUGCUCAGGUGCCUUCUAGGGUCUGGCUCUGAGUGUGGGCUUCUCUCUCAUCACCUAAGACAGGCUUUGCCCCUCCAUGCCGACCUCCAGGGAGACCCCUCCAAUACUCAAUUCUAAAUCAAGACAGCGUAGGGUGGCGGUUGACAGGAGGGAGUCACAGAACCCAGAACCCUGCUCUUGACCAGCAACAGGGCCACCAAGAAUGCUGCCCAUGCAUGGACUGAUCACCGCUGUGUGUCCCGCACCUUGCAAAGGACUGCCGACAUUGUCUGAAUACUUCACUUUGUGCCAAGAAUUCUUCCAAGUACUUUGUGUUGAGUCACUUCAUCCUCAUAAAAAUUCUGUGAUUUAUCAUUUGGUAGAUAAAGAAGCUGAGACAGAGAGAGUAGAUGGGCGCUCCUGGUUUCAAACCAGGUCCUCUGACUCAAGUCUGCUUUCUUUUCUUUUUCUUUUUGGUUUCCUUUCUUUCUUUCUUUUUUUUUUUUUUUUUUUUUUUGCACCUGCUUUCUUAACCACUGUGUUACACGGCUACCAAUCAGGCCUCAUUUAAUUCUUCUGUCCUUACAGGGCAUCAUUCCCAUUCUGCGGAUAAAGAAACUGAGAUCUAGAGACUUUAAUUAACUUGCUUAAGUUCACACAUCUUUUUUUUUGUUUGUUUGUUUUCUUUUCUUUUUGUCUUUUUUCCUUUUUAUCGGUACCAGGGAUCGAACUCACGACUGCCUGCUUGCAAGGCAGGUGCUUAUGCCGCUGAGCUAAAUCCCCAGCCCCUUAAGUUCACACAUCUAGUGAGUGGUAAACUCUGUGAACUGGAAAAAACUUAAGAAGAAUCUGAACACCUAUUAUUAACUUUUAAUUAGAGCACAAAUGUUCUGCCUACAUCUCAUGUGUGGGGAUACUUUGCCGUGCUCCAAACCCUUUCCUCACCAUGUGGUUACUGCCGGCAAAGCUUCUGUCACCUGGGGUUUUGCCUAAUUGUUCUUUACUUGAAAGAAUAAGCCAGUGACACAACAUCUACCUUAGUCAAUCUAUGGCUACAUGUGGAACUAAGUCACUCCAACACUGUAUGCGUUCAAGAUUUGUAAACUACUGCAUUUAUUUUUUUCCUUUUUUUCUUUAGGAAGAUAUAGCAAGAUUUCUGAGAUGGGCAUGGUGGUGCAUGCCUAUAAGCCCAGGCUUUGGGAGCCUGAGGCAGGAGGACACUUGCAAGUUCAAGGUCAGCCUGAACUACAUAUUGAGCUUAAGGCUAGCCUUGACUCAAGAGUGAGACCCUGUCUCAAAAAAGUUUUUUCCCCUUCUCAUCCAUCCAUGGUUAGUUGCACAAAGAAGCCCUUUCUCCGUGGUAUUAUUGUAGCAUGUUACCUGAUAACAGACAGUGCUUCUGUUUACAUUUUAAGGGUUUACCUUAACACAAAGCCUGCCUAUUUUUUUUUUUUGUCUUUUUUCUUUUUUAUCGGUACCAAGGAUCGAACUCAUGACUGCCUGCUUGCAAGGCAGGCGCUUAUGCCAUUGAGCUAAAUCCCCAGCCCAAGCCUGCCUAUUUCUUUGGCCAGGGUCAUGUGUCUAUGUGUAAUCUAUCAACCCCUCCCUUUUCAGCUUAACUUCCCUAAGGUCUUACAAUGGUUCAUCCCCACCACAUUGGGUCAAGUCCUUCUUUCCAAUAUACCUGACCCACUGGGUUAUCAAAAUGUGCUACCAGGUUCUAGAGAGUUGGAAGCUGGUUGGGCAAAGUUAGCAAGAUCCUGCCUCAAAAUAAAAACAACUAUUUUCAAGACAGGGUCUUGCUAUGUAGUAUAGACUGGCCUUGAACUCACUAUGUAGCCCAGGCUAUCUUGGAACUCAUGGUAAUCCUUCUGCCUCAGCCUUCUGAGUGCUGGUAUCAAGCAGGCACCACCACGCUUGGCUCAGAAUAAAAUUUAAAUAGGGUUAUGGUUUAGCACAGGGAUGGCGUGGUUGCCCAGCAUCUGCUGAGGGCCUGGGGUCAGUCUCCAGUACCUCUCCCCUAAUUUUUUUCUGGUAAUUAAGAACUUUCCUUGUUGGGAGCCGCGUCUGUGAUAGCUCGCCUUGCGCGGCGGACGUGCGGCCUGUGGUAAAGAGCAAAGCCUGAGGUAGAUUACCCCUCCCAUCGAAUAUGUUAGUUUCCUGCUUACCGCGUAAACAACCCGCUCAACAAUAUAGUCUGCCUGGCAACUGAUGAUGUUAGCCAAUCAGCUUGCCUUGCUUACUUUAACAUGAUUGGACACUGUACCCGUAUAUAUACCGGUGCCACCCCUGGGCGGAAGAAGAAGCCAGGUAGAAGCCCAGAAGUAAAAGCCCAAAAGGAGCCGCGGAGAGUGGACCGGUAGAGGCUUUGGGGCAGACUGAAGCACAAAAGGAGCCGCGGGGAGCGGACCAGAGGAGGCUUCAGCUGGGAGAACCCAGGGCAGGCUGUACGGAGAAGGAAAAUAAAAAGAAAAGGUUGUCCACUACCAGACUUUGUCGUGUGUCCUUCCUGCCGGCCGGGAGCGGACAUCGACAUUUGGAGGCCCGCCCGGGGACUGAUCACCCCCGAGACGUGGAAGUGGACAACGCUCCAGUACAGAGCUGCGAGACAGUGGUCAGCUGGAACCGAGGCGCGGUUUGUGUUUUCCCACAGGAACCGGGACGAGAACCACUGUGGAUACCGGAGAGACUGACACGGGCAACAAAGCCCUCGACUGAAGAUCAGACCUGCCCUACUGGAGAUCCAUCACAGACCAACCAAUAAGAUGAAUAGAAAUAGCGGUAGCCCGAAAUGGACAAGAAGAUCCUCAGGCAUAUGCAUGGCUUGCUCAAUCGGCCCACGACCGAGUCUAGAUAUGGCGGGCAUCCCUCAUUCUCCUCCAUAAGGUGACAAUACACAGCAGGGUAGGUGAGUCAAUGACGGGUAAGAGCGUGCCUCCCCAGCACGACUCGACCUAAGCCAGGCCCUACCCCAUCCUGCACGUAAGCCGCUGGACUGUUAGAUGCUGCCCAGGUCUAAAUUUCUCUCCGAGGGGAUUUCUUUACGGAGAGGAAAUGAGUGCAAGCUUGUGUGCAUCCAGGUUCCGUCCAGUUUGUGCCUGGCCCUAGAAAAAGGACGAGGGCCUCAGGGCCUUGGCAGACCAUGGCAUGGCCAACCAGGGUCUAAGCCAAGGACCUACGGUGGGCCUACACAUAGGGCAUAAGCCUCUGCACCCAGUCCAGGAAGGGCUACGAUGCGCACAUUCAUAAAAAAUAAAAUAGGGGGAGAUGUUGGGAGCCGCGUCUGUGAUAGCUCGCCUUGCGCGGCGGACGUGCGGCCUGUGGUAAAGAGCAAAGCCUGAGGUAGAUUACCCCUCCCAUCGAAUAUGUUAGUUUCCUGCUUACCGCGUAAACAACCCGCUCAACAAUAUAGUCUGCCUGGCAACUGAUGAUGUUAGCCAAUCAGCUUGCCUUGCUUACUUUAACAUGAUUGGACACUGUACCCGUAUAUAUACCGGUGCCACCCCUGGGCGGAAGAAGAAGCCAGGUAGAAGCCCAGAAGUAAAAGCCCAAAAGGAGCCGCGGAGAGUGGACCGGUAGAGGCUUUGGGGCAGACUGAAGCACAAAAGGAGCCGCGGGGAGCGGACCAGAGGAGGCUUCAGCUGGGAGAACCCAGGGCAGGCUGUACGGAGAAGGAAAAUAAAAAGAAAAGGUUGUCCACUA